GUGGGGAAUAUUGGACAAUGGGCGAAAGCCUGAUCCAGCCAUGCCGCGUGUGUGAAGAAGGUCUUCGGAUUGUAAAGCACUUUAAGUUGGGAGGAAGGGCAGUAAGUUAAUACCUUGCUGUUUUGACGUUACCGACAGAAUAAGCACCGGCUAACUUCGUGCCAGCAGCCGCGGUAAUACGAAGGGUGCAAGCGUUAAUCGGAAUUACUGGGCGUAAAGCGCGCGUAGGUGGUUUUGUAAGUUGGAGGUGAAAUCCCCGGGCUCAACCUGGGAACUGCAUACAAAACUGCAUGACUAGAGUACGGUAGAGGGUAGUGGAAUUUCCUGUGUAGCGGUGAAAUGCGUAGAUAUAGGAAGGAACACCAGUGGCGAAGGCGACUACCUGGACUGAUACUGACACUGAGGUGCGAAAGCGUGGGGAGCAAACAGGAUUAGAUACCCCAGUAGUCC
rnacentral:rRNA from 1 species